rnacentral:rRNA from 1 species
UACGUAGGGUGCAAGCGUUAAUCGGAAUUACUGGGCGUAAAGCGUGCGCAGGCGGUUGUGCAAGACAGAUGUGAAAUCCCCGGGCUCAACCUGGGAAUUGCAUUUGUGACUGCACGGCUAGAGUGUGUCAGAGGGGGGGUAGAAUUCCACGUGUAGCAGUGAAAUGCGUAGAUAUCUGGAGGAACACCGGUGGCGAAGGCGGCGUUCUGGACUGCAACUGACACUGAGGAACGAAAGCCAGGGGAGCAAACGGG